GGGGAGGUGAGCUCACCUGAUCUGUGACUGGGAACGUGUUCACCACAUCCUUGUUUUUGCACCAGUGAAACAUUCAUUCUUUUGACUGAGAUAAGCUUGAUCCAUUUUCCUGAGAGUAUUCCAAUGUUCUCUCCACCUGUUUCCUUUGAGGAAAGUAAAAUAUUCAGACAUCUUUUUACUGAUCACUGAGGUCACGGAGAAAUGUUAUCACCUGCUUCGGGCGCAUGAAAGGGACUUGCUCAGUCAUCGGACGCUGGCAAAUUCGCACAGGGGAGAGGCCAUUCACCACCUCUGGAUUCACUCACUCAUCCACUUGGUGACAAAUCAUUGAGUCUUACGCCGAGGAGAGGCCGUUCUGCUCUCGCUGGGUGGGGGUGGGAGGCUUCAUUCAGUCAUCCAACCUCCUGAUACAUCUGACCGCGAUAAGGACUUCAAGCGACCCAGCAACCCGAUGAACUGCCAGGGAAUUCCCGCGGGGGAGAUGCCGUUCACCUGCCCUGACUGCGGGAAGGGUUUCAAGAAUUCCUUCAGACUGCAGACACACCAGAGAGGCCACACCGGGGAGCAGGUGUUCAUCUGCUCUGAGUGCGGGGAGGGAUUCACUCAGUCGUCCAGCCUGCUGAUCCACCAGCAAGCUCACACCCAGGAGAGACUGUUCACCUGCUCGGAGUGCGGGAAGGGGUUCACCCGGUCGUCCAACCUGCUGGCUCACCAGCGGGUUCACACCGGGGAGAGGCCGUUCACCUGCUCCUGCUGCGGGAAGGGUUUCAGGCACUCCUUCAGCCUGCAGAGGCACGAGCGGCUGCACACCGGGGAGUGGUCAUUCAUCUGCUCUCACUGCGGGAAGGGUUUCAAGCAUUCUUUCAGCCUGCAGAGACACCAGCGAGUCCACACCGGGGAGCGGCCGUUCAUCUGCUCGCAGUGCGGGAAGGGAUUCGCUCAGUCGUCUAACCUCCAGACGCACCAACGAAUUCACACCGGGGAGAGGCCAUUCAGCUGCCGACAGUGCGGGAAGGGGUUCACUCAGUCAUCCCACCUACUGAUACACCAGCGGGCUCACACCGGGGAGAGGCCGUUCACCUGCUCCGAUUGUGGGAAAGGAUUCACUCAAUCCUCUGACCUUCGGAGGCACCAACGCAUUCACACCGGGGAGCAGCCGUUCAUCUGCUCCGAGUGCGGGAAGGGAUUCACUCAGUCGUAUGACCUUCGAACGCACCAACGGAUUCACACCGGGGAGCAGCCGUUCACUUGCCGUCAUUGUGGCAAGGGAUUCACUCAGUCGUCACAGCUCGUGAUACACCAACGGGUUCACACCAGGGAGAAACUGUUCACCUGCUCUGAGUGUGGGAAGGAAUUCGCUCAGUCGUCCAGCCUACUGAUACACCAGCAAAUACACACCCAGGAGAGACUGUUCACCUGCUUUGAGUGUGGGAAGGGAUUCACCCGGUCAUCCAAUCUGCUGGCCCACCAGCGGGUUCACACCGGGGAGAGGCCGUUCACCUGCUCCGACUGUGGGAAGGGAUUCACUCAGUCAUCCAAGCUUCUAAUGCACCAGCGAAUUCACACCGGGGAGAGGCCAUUCAUCUGCUCCGAGUGCGGGAAGGGGUUUACUCGGUCAUAUGACCUUCAGAUGCACCAAGGAACUCACACCGGAGAGUGGCCCUUCACCUGCUCUGAGUGCGGGAAGGGGUACGUUCGAUCAUCCGAGCUUUUGACACACCAACGAGUCCACACUGGGGAGAGGCCCUUCACCUGCUCCGAGUGUGGGAAGGGGUUCACUCGAUCAUACGACCUUCAGAUGCACCAACUAAUUCACACCGGAGAGUGGCCCUUCACCUGCUCCGAGUGCGGGAAGGGAUUCACUCGGUCGUCUGACCUCCUGAGGCACCAACUAAUUCACACCGGGGAGAGGCCGUUCACCUGCCCUGAAUGUGGGAAGAACUUUGCUCGGUCGUCUCACCUGUCGAAACACCGACAAACUCACAAAAAAGGGAAAGUUUAAAUGUGCGGUUUGUGUGUGGGGCGUUAAAACACGGCAGCUUCUGAGACAGACGCUGCCCGACCUGGUGAGUUCCUCCAGCUCCCUUGUGCGUUGUUCCAGAUUUCCAGCAUCCACAGUCUCUUGUGUCUUCACUUCUAGUAUUUGAGGAUUCCACCCUGGGGUGUCGGCAAUGGGGAGGAUUGAUCCAAGCAACAUGCCAAGAUCAGCCAGACUUGCUCACCCCACCGGAAUCUGUGCACCGCCAUCCUUGGGAUGUGGGAGAAAGCAGCGGCAGAAACCGUUGUCAGGUUUUGACAAGCGUCCGCGCUGCUGAGACCCCAGAGCCACCGCAACGACAGGAGUCUGGGCAAUCCUCUUACCCGUCCCGUCUGGAAAGUCAUCACCGCAGUGCGACCCUUCACCUGCCCUGUGUGUGGGAAACUGUAUUCCAAUUCAUCUACCCUGUCCAGACACCAGCACGUUCAGUCCAUGGAGAGACUGUCUGCCUGCUCAUUCAGCUUGACGUGUUCAUGGUACAUCGCCUAGUUCAUGCUGCUGAAAUAUGUUCGACUGCCCUGUGUGUGGGUAAGGAUUCACUAGGUCUGACAAGCUAAGUACACACUAGCGAGACCUUCCCCUUCACAAUGGGAGGGGUUUCACUCAGUCACAGAGGAUUCCAUCACACCAGAAAAUUCAUACUGGAUAGAGCAUAGGUGUCAAACUCAAGGCCCGGGGGCCUUAUCCGGCCUGGUGUACAAUUAUAUCCGGCCCGUGGGAUCAUUUUAGAUAGAUCUAUUAUUUUAAUUAUUAAUGGCCCGGCGAUAUGAAGCCUAUGAUUGUAAGUUAAUACCAAUCAUAAAAAUAAUGCUUGCUCAGCAGUCUUCUUCAUAAGAAACGGAAUUUGUGAAGUGAAACACUUUGUAGUUAUAGCAGAGACUGAGACACAUGAGAACAGGCUGAAAAAACGGAGGCAAUGAAAGCUGCGUUCACACGCUUCCGACUGAUCCGGCCCGCAUGAAGCUGCAUUUUGCCCAAUCCGGCCCGUGACCUAAAAUGAGUUUGACACCCCUGGGAUAGAGGGUGUUCACUGACUCCGAGUUGGGGGAGAGAUUGACUCCCCAAGUGACUGUAGGAGCUGGAUUCCAGAGUCAUUGCUCCUCAGUAUCUGGGAUUGGACCAGGUUUACUAACCCAGCCUGGCAUUCUCCUGAUGACGUUUACAGCCUCUGUAACUGGGAUCAAUUUUUAAUGUCCAAUAAAUUAUCUUGAUCUUGA